GGGGGCGUUACGGAUUCGACAGGCAUAGUUGAGCUUGAAUUGCGUUUCGUAGGUUACGGCUACGUUAAAACGUUACAGUUAAAUAUAACUGCUAAAAACGAAAACAAUUCUUUCGCUUUAGCUGCCUAAAAACCAGCUAGCGAAGAUCCUCCCGGCAUCGCCCAUGUGCUCGGGUCAGGGUCCUAAUCGAAGUGGGAUAC
rnacentral:tmRNA from 1 species